UACGAAGGGGCUAGCGUUGUUCGGAAUUACUGGGCGUAAAGCGCGCGCAGGCGGCCUUUCAAGUCGGUGGUGAAAUCCAGAGCUCAACUCUGGAAUUGCCAUCGAAACUGUAAGGCUUGGGUACGGGAGAGGUGAGUGGAAUUCCGAGUGUAGAGGUGAAAUCGUAGAUAUUCGGAAGAACACCAGUGGCGAAGGCGGCUCACUGGCCCGUUACCGACGCUCAGGCGCGACAGCGUGGGGAGCAAACAGG
rnacentral:rRNA from 1 species